GGCAAGAAUCAGCUAAAAAAGCUAUUGGGCUCAUACCCCGAACAAUGAGGCCGCCCCUCUCUUCCCA
rnacentral:tRNA from 1 species